UACGUAGGUGGCAAGCGUUAUCCGGAUUUAUUGGGCGUAAAGGGAACGCAGGCGGUCUUUUAAGUCUGAUGUGAAAGCCUUCGGCUUAACCGGAGUAGUGCAUUGGAAGCUGGGAGACUUGAGUGCAGAAGAGGAGAGUGGAACUCCAUGUGUAGCGGUGAAAUGCGUAGAUAUAUGGAAGAACACCAGUGGCGAAAGCGGCUCUCUGGUCUGUAACUGACGCUGAGAUUCGAAAGCGUGGGUAGCGAACAGG
rnacentral:rRNA from 1 species